UACAUUCGCCUUCGGUGUGUGUGCGCGAGAGCGAGAGAGCGCAGGUUUCGUGCGAGAGCGAGUGAGAGUGUGUGUGUGCGAGGGCUCAGGAGCGGACUUGCAGUUAAUGCGGGUUCUUGGAUAUCCCCUGUUCCUAUCCAAAUCUUCUUAGCGCCCCUCUCACUGGCGCCACCUGCACUCCGCCCCUGGGUUUGUUGAUAUCAACUGUUGCAGUGCGCAGCCAGCUGGUGUGUGAGUAACUGAGCACGACAUACAUACAAUCAUCGGCUGCGACGCUUAUGAAUCAGCUGUUCCAUGUGUAUUAAUCAUAUGGCUGUUUGAUUAAUCUACAAUUCUGAACGCUUUCGAGUACGGAAAAUCAGAAUAAUACAUGGAUACUAUACGUAUUCCCACACACAGAUACUCACUAUGCUGCCAUGUACUACAAGAUCUGAUAUAAUAUGCAUAAAAAUGGCAUGCAGUUAAAGUCGUAUACUUAAAAAAAUACGCAGGAACAUACAGAUAACUAUACAUUUUCACAGAUGCAAGUUCGAUGUAUAUACAUACUAUUUAUCUACAGAAUGACGCAGCGGAACAUGCACUUGCAUUUUCAUACAGUGUCAGGUAUAAAUAUCGGUUAAAGAACAGUGUACAUACGUGCAUACGUAUGUAUGUAUACACAUACGGGUGUGCAUGAUUUAAUUGUGCUCUGACACACGGAAGUAAUCGCGUUGAUCGUUGCGACCACAAUAUUUUA